UGUCGGUCCCCUCGCAACGUGAAGUUGUGAACCCCGUCAGGUCCGGAAGGAAGCAGCGGCAGCAGCAGAUACGUGUGCCGGGGUGUGGCUGGCAUGG
rnacentral:SRP_RNA from 1 species